CUACGGGUUGCAGCAGUAGGGAAUAUUGCGCAAUGGGCGAAAGCCUGACGCAGCAACGCCGCGUGAGUGAAGAAGGCCUUCGGGUCGUAAAGCUCUGUCAGGAGGGAAGAAACCCGGCAGGUUGAUAAAAUCGGCCGGCUGACGGUACCUCCAGAGGAAGCUCCGGCUAACUCCGUGCCAGCAGCCGCGGUAAUACGGAGGGAGCUAGCGUUGUUCGGAAUUACUGGGCGUAAAGGGCGCGUAGGCGGUUUGGUAAGUCAAAUGUGAAAUUCAACGGCUCGACCGUUGAACUGCAUCUGAUACUGCCAUACUUGAGACUAGUAGAGGAGAGUGGAAUUCCCAGUGUAGCGGUGGAAUGCGUAGAUAUUGGGAAGAACACCGGUGGCGAAGGCGACUCUCUGGACUAGUUCUGACGCUGAGGCGCGAAAGCUAGGGGAGCGAACAGGAUUAGAUACCCCUGUAGUC
rnacentral:rRNA from 1 species